GGAUUGAGCAGUGAAGUUGCAGGGGCAUGUUCUAUACACCAAAACUGCUUCAUUAAGCUAUCGUUGUUCAGGUGACUAUAGUGUCCCUUUAACCAACCUUGUUACACCCCCCGUCUGUCAAUUGAACGACAAGUCCUGUUACUUCCUGGUUUAGUUAGCAAGACUCAAGAGGCAGACAAUUGCUCAGGGCACCUGCCUGGCAAAGAUUUCUCAUUGAGCUGCAUUGGGAAGUCUGUGAUUGGACAGCCACAAAAAGUAUGAGCUGGGGAACACAGGGCUUGGAAAAAGUUGCAAACGAGAUCUACUACACUUUUUGCACACUUUUUUUGAUAUAUCUUAAAUGAAACAAAGGCAUAAUUGAAUAUAUGCAAGUUUUAAUAGGGGGUAUGUAUAAUAAGUAGUGUUUGUUUUUAUUCGGGCAAUGGAGAGUCCCUGUAAGCAGUUGAAUGAACUCCAGAGAAUCAAGAUCUGGGUGUACAAGAAUGUGUGUGCACAGCCCUCUAUGUUUGAAGAUAUAUUAAUUCUGUGCUAGUUUCCUAUGUUUUCAUAAUAUUGUAGAUCAUGUUCUUAAGAGCAAUACAUGAAACUUUUCACAUGUUCUAUGUCAGGGGUAGGCAACAUUCGGCACUCCAGGCGUUGUGGACCAAAUCCCCCAGAAUGCUCUUACACCCAUAAUGCUGGCAAAGCAUCAAAGGAGGUGUAGUCCAAAACAUCUACAGUGCCGAAGGUUGCCUAUGCCUGUUUCUAUGUUAUACUUAAGCUGGUG